rnacentral:misc_RNA from 1 species
GAAAUGCGAUAAGUAAUGUGAAUUGCAGAAUUCAGUGAAUCAUCGAAUCUUUGAACGCACAUUGCGCCCGCCGGCCAUUCCGGCGGGCAUGCCUGUUCGAGCGUCAUCUCAACCCUCAGGCCCCGCCUGGUGUUGGCGGCCCGCGGCCCCCCAGCGGUCGCGGCCCCCGAAAUACAGUGGCGGUCCGCCCCGGCGCCCCCUGCGAAGUCGCUAAAACUCGCUUCGGGCCGUCGCGGCGACCUGCCCACCCGCGCCCUGUCCCGCGUCAGCGGGCAGCGCGCAAAGCAGCACAGGUUUGACCUCGGAUCAGGUAGGAAUACCCGCUGAACUUAA